CUGAGAGGAGGAGCAUGAUGGACUAGCAACUUGACGGUAGCUGCUAAAUCAGCCGAUUUUAGUUCCAGAAAUGACUCCUGCUGGGUGUAAUCACACUGGCUUUCAUUACCAUCACUGCCACAGGAUGCAUGAGCAUUUAUGAGCAUUUUACUCUGGAAUGAAUCCUGUUAUGCUUCAAGACCUGGGUGAAGUUGUCUUGCUCCAUGAAGCCUUGCUUGAUCGUGGAAACCAGUGACGAUCUUUCUCUGACCGGCCAGAGAACCGCCAGCUCAUCUACACAGACACACGCCACCACACACAUACACCCGUGCAUUCCUUCACAAGAGAGUAGAGCUUACCCCUCAACUAGUUUGACCAAAGGUCCUGCCAUAAAAGUCUUGUCACAUCUUGCAGUGAUUUGCACACCAUAGGUGCUCACUAAAGAUGUGUUAAUUGGCUGAUUAGAAUAAAUGGCAUUGCUGUCCAGCCCACUAUCAAGCAAAGAUGGUCUUCAGAAGUAAAGAGAUGGACUUCCCUGGAGUCUGAUUCUAUUAAUAACUGAUUCUGCCAACACUAAGCCUGUAACCUCUACCACGGAUCUCAUUUCUCUAAAAUCCAUUGCAAAUUACUGAGGCUAUCUCUGCUUGUAAUCUGUUACUGGCGAGCAUAUUGAUUCCCAGGUGGCUGCCUGACCCACAAACCAACUCAUUGUGUUGAGCAUCUCAAUCUCUUCUCGAAAAGCACUCACCAAACCUGCUCACACACUCUCCAACUCCUUCGGAGUAGUAGUGGUGCCUCAGGUAGACAGUAUGGUCUAGCAGGAAAGAGACCCAUCCUCAACGGCUCUGUCAGCUCGUUUAGAUUUAAUCUGACAUAGCUGUCUCUUUAGAACAAAAUCUACCAAUGGCCUAAUUUUUACUUCGUUUUUUUUUUUUUUUUUUUUUUGGUUUAGUGUUUCUGUUCUUCAGAGUUGAGUUCCUUGAAAUGACACUUUUGCUCCUACGUUGUUAACACUCCUUUUCUCACUUCUCCCCGUGCUCACACAGAUGAUUCAAACGCAUUUGAAAAACGUCUCCCGUUGCUUUGUAAGGAUGUUUCCAUGCUGCAUUUUCCCUAGGGCAGCAAGGGAGAUUGGCUAAGGGAGAUUCUCUAGUUCACCCUUUGUUUCCUUUGCAGCAAAGCCCUCCAGAAUUUGGCUUCCCAGGCCUGGCAGGAAAUGCCAAAGGGUGGGGGAUGGGUAGAAUUGUGUAGAGAUGAAAUUUUUAAAGAGGAAAAAUCAUGAAAUUAUUCAAGACAGGUUUUGUGGGAUCCUGUUGGAGAGAAUGGUUUCAACAAUGGGGGUCAUAAAUACAAAUGCACAGACUCUAAAAAUCUGGGAAUUUCAUUUCCUGUAACUUCCAGAAAAAAAAAACAAAACUACCUCUCAGUGGUUCUCCUAUCCCUUGUAGUCAAUGCCUGAAUGGGAACCUGGGAACUGGGAGAGGCAAUUCCAAAAGUCACUUCCCCCACAAACCCUGACCAAGCCCCUAAGUUUUAGAGCCUAGCAGUCCAAUAAGGAGGGCUCACAGCAUUACCUCCCUCCUCUACCGAUAGGCAUCUGAUCUUGUAGAUGCAGGAAUCUGUCUCCUUAUUUUCCAAAUACCCUCCCUUUCUCCUCUUCCUUCUUUGCUCUGGUUUAGCCAUUAUCAUUUCCUUGGAAGAAGUAGGAGAUAGCAUUGGUUGGGAGUUCAAGCAUUGGAAAAAUAAUACAAAUGAGAUUUGGAAAUAAUUUCUAGGUUUCAGCAGCCAUGUCUUUACCCCUACCCUCUUGCAAAUGCCACCCAUGCUUCCAGGUCCAGGGUAGGUUCUACCUCCAUCAGGAAACCUUCCUGACUGCCUCCUUGCAUGUCUAUCUCUCUACUAGGCAGUAAUUGGCAUGAGUUCAGAGUUGGUAUCUUUUAGCUUUGUAGCCCUAGAAUCUAGCACAGUGUCUAGCACAUAGAUGCUUAACAAUAAAGACUUGUAAUUGAAACAAUUAUAGGCCAUAAUUUUUUUAUAGCAAGAAACAACUGUGGAUGUAUAAAAAAUUUUUUUUCUCAUAUGCAAGAAAAUAUUAAACACUACUGACAAUGUUACCCACUUAAAAGUCUUCUAGAAUUUUUAAAUAUAAAAAUUUUGGUCUUUCAUUCACAUCAACAGAUACAGUUUUUUGUGACUAUGCCAAUUUUGAUAAGCUGAUAAGCACCCUACCUUUAUAAAAUAAGAAUUAUGUCCAGGGAUUUUUAGUUGUAAGAGGGAGGACCUGGGACGAAUGUGGCUACUUGAUCUUGACUGGAAUUAGAAGUUCUUUAUUCCUCUUUCUGUACUUUAUAUUUUGACAGUAAAUUAAAUCAAGUUUGGUAGAAUUCCCUACAUGGUUCAGGUUACUCUUGCAUCCCAAAGACACACUGGUUUGAAUUUGACUGAAAUUAAAACCACUGGCUUAAUUUGUUGUUCUGUCUGCUUUUUCUCACUAGCCCUGGAAAGCUGGAGCCAUUUUAUUUGCUUUUUGCCUUUCUAGAUCCCAUGGAGCGGAUGGAGCACAUGAGCCAAGGGUAGGCGGGCUCAGUAAAGAAAAGCCCAAAUCUCUCUUCAGCUGUAAGUUGGCCCUUCACUGGGCUGCACUGACCAGACCUGAACCUGACUAUGUCAUCAUGACUGAUGCCAAUGGGUUCAUAUGACCAUUGCCAUUGGUCACCGUAUUAGAUAUGGUGACAUCACUUUACACACUUCUGAGUCUUUCCAGGCAACUUGUAUGUAGUGUGCAGUCUGAAGCAAUGUCUAAUCUCUCAGAAGAAGUUCUCAAAGGAAUGUUUCCAAAAGGACCAUUUUUUUCCGAUAUAUUGAAAAAUAAAGGCUCACCUAAAAAUAAUUAAACUCGACUUAAUAUUAUUGCUGUUCUGUAUGUCAUAAUUAAACAAGCAUGAAAGAAAUCUUAAUAGGAUUGCAAUCGGGUCUUUGUGUUCCUGAAUGUUGUAUCAGAGUCUUAGUGGAAACCAGGUUUAAGGUGGCUCAGAGGAACUGUCCUUUGUUUUCAGGAAAAGUGAAACUCAAUCAAGACUGAAUUCUGUGGCUACCAAACCCAGCUGCUAUUCCCAAAUCCUGUCCAAAUCCUCUCUACCUUUCAAAGCCUGGCUUGAUCGCACUUCUUCCACUAGAUCGUAGGGAAGACCCCCUCCCCUGAGUCUUCUUGGUUUGAAUACUCCCAUCUAGAACAUAACUAUUCAAUGCUGUUUGCUACUCCCUCUUAGCUUGUGGAAUUUAGAAUAACCUCCCAAUCUAUUAUCAGUGAAUCCUUCCACGUGAGAACUGUCUUCCUUUGGUUAAUAACCCCAGCAUCUACCUCAGAGUCAGGUGAAUAAUAGCUACUCUUUAAAACUAUGAUAAACUGUUGGUUUGUCAUAGGGAAAGUCACAUUUUUAAAAAGUUAAGUUGAAGGUUUAUAAGCUGAUUCUUCAUCAGGUUCCUUUCAUAAGUAAGUUAAGAUCCUUCUAUGAGGUUAAAAUAUGAUUCAGUUUAGAAAAAUUCAGUGAAUAUGCAUCUGUUACAUAAAGCUAAGUAUUCUAUGAAACUGAGGUGGCAUGAGAGAGUUGGUGCAAAGCUGCUCCUGUGACUGUGGCUGCCUGACAGUGGCCUGAGAAAAGAUAGUAAAUAUCUGAACUACAGAGGAAGCUCCUUCUCUGCCCAUCCUCACCCUACAGCCAUCCAUGACAACAUCCAUGUUAGCUUGAUCACUGUUCUGCCAUAAAAGAAAUCCCUGGUGUUAUUCAACACCAUUUUGUGCUCCAAAAGCUGCCAUAUGAUGAGGAAUCCUUAGCCUUGUUAUUCUACAACGCACAAAGGAGAACACUGCUGACAUUGAAGACAUCCAUUCCCACUCCCUCACUCAUUCACCAAGCUGACCUUCAACGUGGCUUCCCAUGAUCCACCACGUACAGGGGCUCCAUAGAGCCCUCACAACUAAACUGGACCCCUCCUAGGAUGUUGGGCUUCUUGAUAAUGGUGUAAAGAAAACUUGCCAGAGUGGCUCCCUGCCUGGAAAGCCACCUCAGAUAGUGAGAGGGAGGGCUACCUGCUGGGGACAGGGGGAAGUGGGAGGGUUCCUCCAACAGAAGGGACCCUGUGCUGGAUCAGGCACAAGAAACUAGCAAUGUGAAUCAGAGCAAGGCCCCACUACCUUGGGAGUCCCUGAGACUAGAUGAGAUGCCAGGUCUGACUCUGCCAAGAUGGAGUGCCUAUGAGCAAAAUAGUUUUACUUCUCUGAAACCCAAUUUUCUCACUGGUACCAAAAGGAAAGAAAAGAAAAAAAAAAAGGAAAAGAAAAGAAAGGAAAAGAGAGAGAGAUAAAGAAAGAUAAGGUGACUUUGAAAAAAUCUUCCAAGUCUUUGAUUCUGUCCGUGGGUACCUGUCAAGUGUGAGGCCCUGUGAUAGGCACCAUGGAAAAUACAAAAUAUGAUACAUUUCUCAUGAAUCUAAAAUUAUGCUCUAGUGGAAAAAAGAAGAAAGUUAACUCCAUCACUGAGUCUCUAUUAUUCAGGAUUCUGUACACACACAAACCCAUAAAUAUUAGGCAUUACACAACACACAUGAAAAAUGAGAAGAGUUAGUAAUUCUUAUACUUGUGCAGAAAAAGGGAUAGAUUCCUAUUAAAUAGUGGUCUCUGAGGAAAGUUUCGUAGACAAAGAAAUAUGUGUCCAUCUUGAAAGAUAAGCAGAAUGAUUUCCAGAUUUUCAGACGAUAUUUCUUAUUCUCCUGAGAGAUCAGAAGGAUAGGAAAAAUUCCACUGGAUCAGGGUUCCUCAGUAUGGAAUGGGCAUUGUGUGUGUGUGGGUGCAUGUGUAUGUGUGUGUAAGAGAGAGAUGGGGGACCCUGGGAUCAAAUAAGUUCGGAAAAGUAGAUUAAACAAAGGUAAUUUUGUUUUCAUUGCAGGUCUCCUCAAGGAUGCUAAUAAACAUACGUGUGUUGAGACUAAGAGAGGUUACGUUUGCAGUGACUCCAACUAUGGGUCACAGAGUCCUUUCUUCUUACAGCUGCUCAAGUGAUUGGGGUUCUGAGAAAUCCUCUCUGGGAAACGGUGUACCAAAGAUAAUGUAAACUCCAUGAGGUCAGGGACUAGUCUAGUUCACCACUGUAUCUCCAGCACCUGGCAUGGCAUCAGAUACACGGGAAGGAUAUAAUGAAAUAUAAUAAAAGAAAAGUUUGCCAAAUGACUCAAUGAAUAACUAUUGAAUUUUAAGUGGAAAAACUGGCAUUCAAAAUGACAUGGAGAUGAGAAUACACCCAGAAGCAAGGUAUCACCUCUCCAUGAUGUCACCCUCAGGGUCUGGGUUCCACAUAAGCCACAGCUAGGAGUUUCAGGUGAUGUCUGUCUUUGCCUUCUCAAGAAGCAAAAUACUACAAACAUCCAUAAUGAUCCUAAAAGACUUUAACUCCUCCCAACCCCUCAAAAAGGAUAACAAAAUUAGAGCUUCAUGAAGAACAUUGCUGUUUCUUUACUAAAAACAGGUAACAAAUUAGUUAAUAAUACUCGAGUCAGACUCUACCAUGGAGUUAUGGAUUAUCUUUGUUUCUUUACUGCCACCUUCUGGUUCCCAGACACCUA
rnacentral:lncRNA from 1 species